rnacentral:rRNA from 1 species
CCGCCGCGGUAAUACAGAGGGUGCAAGCGUUAAUCGGAGUUACUGGGCGUAAAGCGUGUGUAGGCGGAUAUUUAAGUCGGGUGUGAAAGCCCCGGGCUCAACCUGGGAAUUGCAUUCGAUACUGAAUGUCUAGAGUAUGGUAGAGGAAAGUGGAAUUUCCGGUGUAGCGGUGAAAUGCGUAGAUAUCGGAAGGAACACCAGUGGCGAAGGCGGCUUUCUGGACCAAUACUGACGCUGAGAUACGAAAGCGUGGGGAGCAAACAGGAUUAGAGACCCUGGUAGUCCACGCUGUAAACGAUGAGAACUAGGCGUUAAUUCCACCUCGGUGGAACUAGUGCCGAAGCUAACGCGUUAAGUUCUCCGCCUGGGGAGUACGGUCGCAAGAUUAAAACUCAAAGGAAUUGACGGGGGCCCGCACAAGCGGUGGAGCAUGUGGUUCAAUUCGAUGCUACCCGAAAAACCUUACCUGCCCUUGAAAUCCUCGGAAUCCUGCAGAAAUGCGGGAGUGCCUUCGGGAACCGAGUGACAGGUGCUGCAUGGCUGUCGUCAGCUCGUGUCGUGAGAUGUUGGGUUAAGUCCCGUAACGAGCGCAACCCUUGUCCUUAGUUGCUAAUUAUGUUUCGGCAUAAAGAACUCUAAGGAGACUGCCGGUGAUAAACCGGAGGAAGGUGAGGAUGACGUCAAGUCAUCAUGGCCCUUACGGGUAGGGCUACACACGUGCUACAAUGGAAAGUAUAAAAGGUUGCCAAACCGCGAGGUGGAGCUAAUCCUUAAAACUUUUCGUAGUCCAGAUUGAAGUCUGCAACUCGACUUCAUGAAGUCGGAAUCGCUAGUAAUCGCGUAUCAGCAUGGCGCGGUGAAUACGUUCUCGGGCCUUGUACACCCCGCCCGUC